GACUACUGGGGUAUCUAAGCCUGUUCGCUCCCCACGCUUUCGUGCCUCAGCGUCAAUUCAGGUCCAGUCAGCUGCCUUCGCAAUCGGUAUUCCAUGGCAUAUCUAAGCAUUUCACCGCUACAUGCCACAUUCCGCCAACCUCAUCCUGAUUCAAGUCUAACAGUAUCAAUGGCAGUCCCAUCGUUAAGCGACGGCCUUUCACCACUGACUUAUCAAACCGCCUACGCACCCUUUAAACCCAGUGAUUCCGGAUAACGCUCGCACCCUCCGUAUUACCGCGGCUGCUGGCACGGAGUUAGCCGGUGCUUAUUCUCAUGGUACCGUCAGUCCUUAAUAAAUUAAGUUUUUUCGUCCCAUGCAAAAGAAGUUUACAAGGCAGAGCCCCUUCAUCCUUCACGCGGGAUGGCUGGUUCAGAGUUCCGUCCAUUGACCAAUAUUCCUUACUGCAGCCCCCCGUAGG
rnacentral:rRNA from 1 species